rnacentral:rRNA from 1 species
GAUGAACGCUAGCGGCAGGCUUAAUACAUGCAAGUCGUGGGGCAGCAUGAGUAGCAAUACUUGAUGGCGACCGGCAAACGGGUGCGGAACACGUACACAACCUUCCGAUAAGUGGGGAAUAGCCCAGAGAAAUUUGGAUUAAUACCCCGUAACAUAUAGAGUAGGCAUCUUCUUUAUAUUAUAGCUUCGGCGCUUAUUGAUGGGUGUGCGUCUGAUUAGGUAGUUGGCGGGGUAACGGCCCACCAAGCCUACGAUCAGUAGCUGAUGUGAGAGCAUGAUAAGCCACACGGGCACUGAGACACGGGCCCGACUCCUACGGGAGGCAGCAGUAAGGAAUAUUGGACAAUGGGCGAAAGCCUGAUCCAGCCAUGCCGCGUGAAGGAUUAAGGUCCUCUGGAUUGUAAACUUCUUUUAUUUGGGACGAAAAAAGGGAAUUCUUUCCCACUUGACGGUACCAAGUGAAUAAGCACCGGCUAACUCCGUGCCAGCAGCCGCAGUAA